AGUUGGAUGGGAUACCUAAAUUUCCCAUAGCAAACUGCUUAGUAACACAUGAUCAACUUGCCCUAUGGAGAAAAAUAACUUCGGGAAAGUAUUAUAGCGAUUUUAAUAAUUGAAAACUGUAAUACCCCGAAACUGAGGAUAAUAUUUCAUAGUUGAAUAGGCUUGGAAAAGUUUUUCAAUGAAAGGAAUAAGAUAAAUGGAUCUUAUUUGCCAUAGGAUAGGAUCGUGGUCGAUUAUGGUAGUUGGUGAGAUAACGGCUCACCAAGCCGAUAAUCGAUAGGGGCCGUGAGAGCGGGAGCCCCAAGAUGGGUACUGAGACAGCGACCCAGGCCUUACGAGGCGCAGCAGGCGCGAGACCUCCGCAAUACACGAAAGUGUGACGGGGUUACCCAAAGUGCUCUCUUAAGAACUGUGGCAGGUGAGUAAUGUCCCCUGCUAGAAAGGAGAGGGCAAGGCUGGUGCCAGCCGCCGCGGUAAAACCAGCUCUUCAAGUGGUCGGGAUAAUUAUUGGGCUUAAAGUGUCCGUAGCCGGUUUAGUAAGUUCCUGGUUAAAUCGGGUAGCUUAACUAUCUGCAUGCUAGGAAUACUGCUAUACUA
rnacentral:rRNA from 1 species